rnacentral:rRNA from 1 species
UUUCGAAUCAUUCACAAUGGGCGAAAGCCUGAUGGUGCGACGCCACGUGAGGGAUGAAGGUCUUCGGAUUGUAAACCUCUGUCACUGGGGAAGAAACGUUUUGAGCUAAUAGUUCAAAGCCUGACAUAACCCGGAGAGGAAGCAGUGGCUAACUCUGUGCCAGCAGCCGCGGUAAUACAGAGACUGCAAGCGUUAUUCGGAUUCACUGGGCGUAAAGGGUGCGCAGGCGGCCGUGUGUGUGAGGCGUGAAAGCCCGGGGCUUAACCCCGGAAUUGCACCUCAAACUACACGGCUAGAGCAUUGGAGAGGGUAGCAGAAUUCAUGGUGUAGCAGUGAAAUGCGUAGAUAUCAUGAGGAAUACCAGAGGCGAAGGCGGCUACCUGGACAAUUGCUGACGCUCAGGCACGAAAGCGUGGGGAGCAAAAGGGAUUAGAUACCCGGGUAGUCC